GUUUCCUCCCCCGGUCCAAAGACAUGCAUGGUAGGUUGAUUGGCAUCUCUGGAAAAUUGUCCGUAGUGUGUGAUUGCGUGAGUGAAUGAGAGUGUGUGUGUGUGUGUGUGUGUGUGUGCCCUGCGAUGGGUUGGCACUCCGUCCAGGGUGUAUCCUGCCUUGAUGCCCGAUGGCGCCUGAGCUAGCCAUAGGCUCCCCGUGACCCGAGGUAGUUCAGAUAAGCGGUAGAAAAUGAGUGAGUGAGUGAGAAUUACAAUUAAUGAAAUAACGUGAUUUUAAUACCUUGUGGUAUCGAAUAAAGAAACAUAUUGAUUGGAAGGAUGGUGUGUAGCCGCUAGAGGGCGCUGCGAAACUAACGGUUGGAUUCCAAAUGGCAUCUUUUAUGUAAUAAUGGAAUCUACGUCCUAUCUAGUGCACUUCUAUAUCCAGUAGGAAGGUAUUUGGGAUUUAUCCAUGGACUUAACCGGCGUAUGAUUAACAGCAGCACUCCAGCAUCGCUUUACAUCCUGUGAGAGUCUGAAGAGAGAGAAGGUGAGAAUCCAAGCCCAGUUCCAGCACUGCAGACAUGGCCACUAAUGCAGAGUCGAUGUGGGAGGACCAGAGUGCCUUUGAUUAUGAUUAUGAGACUUUGCAAACCACCGGCCUCAUUCUUGCUGUGAUAAUGUUUAUUUCUGGAAUCCUCAUUGCCCUGAGUAAAAAAUUCAAAUGUUCAAAGUCAUCGAAGUAAGACUUUGCAGACGAGUGGAAAGCCUGCUCUGUGCAUGCGGAAUGACUUGGAAAAAAAGAUGAAGAGUGAUAACAAAAGAAAGGACCUUCAACUAGAAGACUCUUAACUCACAUCCAGCCCCUGGCUCAAGUCCUGUGGAACGGCUUCAGUCCCUCCAAACAGAAGUACCUUCUCAGUCAGUAUAGAGACUGAGCAUCCAAGCAUCUGUGCUCGAGGAUGCUCGUAAAAUGUGAGGAGACCUGCAUGGGAUUGGAUAAAACCAGAUAAUUCUUUAUUUCUACUGGAGUUUGAGGCUUCUUUGUAAAGCUCAUAUAGUAUGUUGCAACUUGCUCAGGAUUUUAUUUACAUACCAAUAUUCACAAUUGAAUACUUAAUGUUUAUCACAAAUUGUUUAUUAUCCCUGCACAAAGAUCAAUAAUGUGCACAAACCUAACUGUUUGUUGAGUUGCAUUUUUAUUAUAAAGCUAAUGAUUGUCUUGUUUACCCCCUCCUCCCAGGGCCGGUUCCAGCCAAUUAUAUUAGGGUAAGAUGGUGCAAAUAAUAGGUGGACAACCAGUGGUAGUAGCCCAAACACCUAAUCCAGUUGUCCAGUUAACCAAUAUUUACAAUAUCCUCUAACCCCCAAUAAUGAUCCAUGUGAUGUCGGUCAAAUUUGAGCAUUUGUGAGCAUGCAUAGCAGUCACAAAUUGAGAAAAGUAGAUAAAAAUGAGGCGAGUGACAAAAACUAUUCUGUGCUGCAGGGGUGGUGCUUUGUGUGAGGCUGCUGCAGACAGAUCAGUUGUCGACUGGCUGUAGGCUGCUCAUCCAAUCAGUAGUUAGAACUCAUAGUGGUAUUUUCUGUUAUUUUCUCUUUGACUAAAAUAAAAUAAAUAAAGAAAUAAAACCAGACUUUGAUUGGCUGCCCACUGCUGCUGCCGGCCCAGCCUCCUCCUCUUCUGUUCUCAUGUGUUUCACCACCUAUCAGUUUAGCAGCAUGACUCAGCCAAUUAGUAAAGAAAAAGACUUGACUACAUUUAGUACAUACUACCUUGACUACGUUUGGUUUGUGAACCUUGUGUCAAUGAUAAAAAUCACAAAAU